UGAGGAACAUGACUUUCGGCGGGGGAUAGCCGGCCCAACGGCCGGGUAAUACCGCGUACGACCUUUUGGGGACAUCCCCGAUUGGUGAAAGCAGCAAUGCGCCGAAAGAGUGCCUCGCGGCCUAUCAGCUAGUUGGUGGGUAAUGGCUCACCAAGGCGACGACGGGUAGCUGGUCCGAGAGGAUGACCAGCCACAUUGGGACUGAGACACGGCCCAGACUCCUACGGGAGCAGNAGU
rnacentral:rRNA from 1 species